AGGCUGAUGUAUAAUCUCAUUACAUGUGUCUGGAUGUCUAUCGGUAAAUACAGCAUGUUGCACCAGACUUCUGAAAGACAUCAUGCAGCAUUAAGUACCCUCCAAGGACCUUCGCUAUUUGCUGGAAGAAAGUUGUUCUACCGGAGCCAGGUCAAUUACCUCUUUCUAAGAGGAGUUGUAAGAAGCUACAAUUCACCCCCAGAAGGCAUGCAGAGAGGGCAUCUAGGAGAGACCCACUGCAACACUUGAAUGCACCAUCAAGUGAGCAAUUGGGAGGGUACUAUUUAUCCCUGACUCUUGCUGAAAUGUGAACCAAUAAAUAGGCUGUCAUCUAUCUGGUGGCA
ensembl:lncRNA